AGCACAGAGCUUAAGUCUUGCAGUGCACUGCUCCAGGGGAAAUGCAGCUGGGUGAGACCCCGCUCUCCGUGUCCCCAGGAUCCCAGAGCCCUCUGUGGGAUUCCCAGAGGAACAGCAGCCUUGGAAAGGCAGGGGACUCCGGAAUGUUCAACUCACUGGGGCGUCUGUGCAGUGAACUGCUUUGUCUGUGAGCGCCACCAAACCCCACCCUGACUCUCUCUGCAGCCUGCUGGAUGUGCAGCCCAGAACCCCACUGUCCAACAGUGCUCCAAAACCAGGGUUCAUCAUCGUAGGUUGAACUUCGUUUCCUGUCACCGCCAAGGCAAAUCUGAGGAACUCGCUCCACAUACUUGAACAAUCUUUUCUUUAAUCUCUAACUUAAGAAAUCACAGGACGGAGGGAGUUUUCUGGGGUGGCAGGAAGCAAUGAAGAAACCAUAUGUAAAGUCUGAGGGAGGUUUUUUGGAUUAAUACCCAGAGCGUGGGCAGAGACGGUUAUCUCUCUGUGCUCAGGGUGUCUGGAGGUGGGGCAUGACGAAGCUAAGGUGAAUGAGUCAAUGAACCCAAUCCGGUGGGCCACCCUCUCUGUUAUACCCAAAUCACCAAGAGACCCAUUUCGAUGCAAAA